UCCUGUGGCGACACGUGACUUACGUCAAAUCGACGAACUAAUUUCGCAAAUGGGAGCAGGUGAAAACACGAUUAUUUGAACAAAUCAAGAGCACGUACAGCAACUUACGAAAGUAUUCGAACACUUGUAGAAAUCUUUUACCACUAUAUUCUGUGUGUUAUAAACAUCUUGAAAUUUCAGUAACAGUGUAAUGAGACUGGUUAUCACGGUUAUAUUGGUACAGCUUGAAAUAAAUCUGAAAAUGUACAUGGAAGCCACAACGUAUUUAGUGGAAAUCAGUUUCAGAUUUAACAAAUAUAAUGAAGACAAUCAUGUCUCGUUAGAGCAAUAACGAAAUUUCGAAAUGUUUUAUAUAACACCUAUAAUGUAUACAUAAAAAUUUGUUAUAUUUCACAACGUUCCACGUAAAAGAUGAAUUACGAUAGCAACUGCAAAUGACGAGUAGCUGCAAUGCAUUGACAAGUACUCGGAGAUGCAAAUUAACAUCUACUCGUUAAUGAAAAUUUCGCAUAGCUGUUCAUAUACGAUGAGAUUAUUUCGCGUUUUCAAUAACAGAGAUCAAAAAUGAGGAUGGGAGAAAUAUUUUGGAAGUAUGGGUUUUGAAUUAUAAAUGUACAAUAUAAUAUAAGAAUAAAACUUUUAAUCAAUCAAAUGUACAACAAAACAAUGAAUUAAAUGAGCUCAAAUCAAUAAUGAAGUACAUUUGCACAUACUUUAGACAUUUGUUUUAUUAGAACAAAUAUAAGGUCCAUAAAUUACCACAUUGAAAACAUUCUUGAAAAUCAUCAGUAUAUGUCUGGAA